rnacentral:tRNA from 1 species
GCGCCCGUAGCUCAAUUGGAUAGAGCAUUUGACUACGGAUCAAAAGGUUGUGAGUUCGAAUCCCGCCGGGCGCGCCA